AACGACUGCCUCGUGACGUGAACAACGUUUGACAGUUUGUGUUUCGAUACCGUAAAACCCAGAAGCUGAUGUAUUUCAAUUCGAUUUGUGGUGACUGCGUGUCACAAAAACCGUCCAAGAAACAUGCCUUGCCUUCAGAGAAGCAAUAACAAAAAAUAUAGUUGGAUGAUAUAAUUUUAUAUGACAGCUCCGGGAAGGAAAUAGAGUUUAGGAGCGAAGAACGUCGUAAAAAAUUGGUUCGCUAACGCACACAUGGAGCGCAUAAAUCUCUACAUGGCAGGCGGUGGAAACUUGGAGAGCCCGUUCCUUACAAUUUUAGAGCGACUCGGUAACUAAAUCUACUAUGUACCAUGACACAUAGAGCGAGGCGAUUGUAACCUUCACCCGGCCCUUGCUCUACCACUGACGAUCAACCAUCGACGAACCCCCCUCGCCUUCGUCAUCGUGAGUCAAAGCCUGCUAAGACACCCAUCCUCUCACGCUCUUACCAUGUGCCCGCGAGUGAGUCUACGUGAGUGGCCACCCCGUUCCCCCACAACCCAAAAAAAAAAAACACAUCUCUCGAAAAUAAUAAAGCAUAAAAGUGCAUAUUGCAUUUUAUUAA